rnacentral:rRNA from 1 species
GAUGAACGCUAGCGGCAGGCUUAAUACAUGCAAGUCGAGGGGUAGCAAGAUUGUAGCAAUACAAUUGUUGACGACCGGCAAACGGGUGCGGAACACGUACACAACCUUCCUACAAGUGGGGAAUAGCCCAGAGAAAUUUGGAUUAAUACCCCGUAACAUAGCGAUGUGGCAUCACAUUGCUAUUAUUGCUUCGGCGCUUGUUGCUGGGUGUGCGGCUGAUUAGAUAGGUGGCGGGGUAACGGCCAACCAAGGCUACGAUCAGUCGCUGACGUGAGAGCAGGAUCAGCCACACGGGCACUGAGACACGGGCCCGACUCCGACGGGAGGCAGCAGUAAGGAAUAUUGGACAAUGGACGCAAGUCUGAUCCAGCCAUGCCGCGUGAAGGAUUAAGGUCCUCUGGAUUGUAAACUUCUUUUAUAAGGGACGAAAAAAGGUCUUUCUAGAUCGUCUGACGGUACCUUAUGAAUAAGCACCGGCUAACUCCGUGCCAGCCGCCGCCGUAACAC